GACGAACGCUGGCGGCGUGCUUAACACAUGCAAGUCGAGCGGUAAGGCCCUUUCGGGGGUACACGAGCGGCGAACGGGUGAGUAACACGUGGGUGACCUGCCCUUAGCUCUGGGAUAAGCCUGGGAAACUGGGUCUAAUACCGGAUAUGACUCCAUGACGCAUGUUGUGGGGUGGAAAGCCUUGUGCGGCUAGGGAUGGGCCCGCGGCCUAUCAGCUUGUUGGUGGGGUGAUGGCCUACCAAGGCGACGACGGGUAGCCGGCCUGAGAGGGCGACCGGCCACACCGGGACUGAGACACGGCCCAGACUCCUACGGGAGGCAGCAGUGGGGAAUCUUGCGCAAUGGGCGAAAGCCUGACGCAGCGACGCCGCGUGAGGGAUGACGGCCU
rnacentral:rRNA from 1 species